rnacentral:lncRNA from 1 species
ACCAGAAUCCCAAGCUCACGAGGCGGAGCAAACCCCCGCGACCCCGUGGUGGGGGCUUGGGGCCCGCGGACUUUGCCCCCUGGUGGACUUUGGUCUGAGCCCGCCGCCCUCCGCGCCACUCCAGGCCCUGGCGAGCGCGGCGGCGGCAGCGCUGGGGAACGGCGUCCCGCGCCCUCUGCUUCUCCGCGGGGCAGGGGCUCGGUCCCCGCCACCGUCUCCGGGGCGCCCCACACACUGGCGCCUGCGGUGGGGCCUGCUCCCGGCGGAGGACAAAGAAUCCAGACCCUUCCUGGACGCUUGUCCCCAGACGUUCCUUCCCUCUACGCCCCGAGGGGAAUCCCAGGGAAGGUUCCCAGAAAUACUACAGUGAGGAGAUCGCGGGUUGGAAGUCCCAGCACCUGAGAACACGGUGCUGGCGCUGGGCUCAAGAUUUGGCUUUCCCAUCUGGAAAAGGGGAAUGACUGCCCCGCCACUCAGGGCUGCGGCGCUCACCCAGCGGGAAGCCGCACGGCGGUCCCCGCAGGUCCCGAUUCAAGGUGAGCCCCAGACCUGCUGCGUGCGGCCGGCAGACUCCGCCGCGGGCUCGGCGAGGGGAGCGGUGCAGGCGCCGAGCUGCGGAGCCCGGGCUCAGGGCAGGACCGCGAGCCCUCCCCACCUGAGGCCCAGCCGAGCGGCCGCUGUCCGCGCAGUGUCGCAGUGGACCCCGAGCCCCGUGCUGAACUCCUUAGGCGUCUUAGGAACAUACUCAGUUCGCACGCAGCUAUGGGAGGAAUUUGGCAGAUGUGGACACCGGCCUCAGUGUCCUAGCCCUCGGGAAUCUCGGGGUGUUAAUGAUGACAGCCCCGUGUGAGAGACUCUAACAGUUAUCCUGGGGGUGAGGGGCUGGGGCGCUGGGCCUGGGCGUGCAUGUGUGAGGAAAGAGAAAUCUGCGCGGGUGUGGAAGAUGGAGAAGCCUGUCUUUCUGCAGGACUCAGAACUUUCUUAGGAAGUUUGGAGGGAGUGGGAGCUGACGGGUAGGGGAGGAGGAAAAUGGCUCAGGCCCCUGACACCGGAAUCCAGACUAUAGAGUUUAAGAAACUAAACGCCUCUAAAUCCUGCCCUCACAGCCCGCCUGGCCUGGGCUGGUUUUCUCAGCAUUCCAGACAUAAAGACUCCUCUAGUACAACUCAAAAUCAAAACCCAGACGACAGGAAGCCGAAUUCCCCACUGAGACCCUCCCGUUUCCUCUCUGACGCUCUUUUUUUUUUUUUCAUUUUUCUCUCUCCUUUUUUUUAGUUAUUUAUCUAGCACAGUUUUAGCUGAGCACUUCUAGUGCAAAACUAGAAUAUCGUUUUGCACCCAAGUAACUCACACCACCUUCUUUAUUUUUCUCAUCUACAAGUAAUCAGAGGAGACGUAAACAAUGACACAUGAAGCACUGAGGAUCUGAGAUGUGUUAAGUUUGCUUUGAGUGUUAGUUAAAUGGAGGGAUGGGUGAGUGGGUGGAUGAAGGCAUCAAUGAAUUCACACAAAAAGGAGAAAAAAUUGAUUUCAGCCCAACAGAUGUUCCGUUACCAUAGUGCAAAGGAAAGAAUGAUAGGUACUCUGUAUUUUAACUGAUGUGAUCAAAUAAUGUGAAUAAUUAAGGCCACAAGUAGAAUUUUGGGGGUCUGAAAUAUCCCGAGUAACCCUCUACACAAGCUAAAUGACUGCUAUGUUAUCACUAUCAAAUAUGCCCUCUGAUUUGUGCUGUGUAGAGCAAAUACCACGUCUGGUCUACUGAAUUGGCAAGCCUCCUGGCUCAGGCACCACUGGACUCCAAUGUUCAGAAAACGGACAGUUGCUAUGUUGUGAGUAUUCUGGCAUUGUUGAGUUGGAACCAUCUGGAAUCCUUCUGGAUACUGACUGUUGGGCCCCUUGUAGUUUCUGGAAUUUACCCGCUUCUAGGAGCCACCUCUCUCCUCUGCACACAGGAGCUCAUCUGCACUAAAGGAUUAGAAGCAAAUAGAAUCUACCCCACGAUCCAAGCUCAAAGGAUCUGGCCUGCUUGCUGGUGUCUUCCCCUGGCCUCCGCUGGGUGGUGUUUGCCUGCCCAGGUCACUGAGACCAGCAGAUCCUUCUAGGCUUUGCUGAACCUGGCUGGUAAUAACUAUCUGACCCUUCAAUUCUUCCAUACACUGAACUCGUUGCUCCAGUGAAUCCCUUUCCCAGCCCACCUUGUUUUGUCUCUGCCUUUCUGUCUCUCCCACUUUCUCACCCUUUCAUGUAAUUCAGCAACUAUUUUAAAACAAAUAGCUUUAUAUGAACAAAAGGACUAGAUCAUGAACUACACUGGUUAUUUGGAAGUCUAGGUUCUGGUCCUGCUACCCCUUUAACUUGAGUUAUUUACAAGUCUGUUUAAAAGUUUCUAGACAUACACUGGUUUGUUUUUUGUUUGGCUAUCGUUUUGUUUUUCAUUUCUAAUUGUAUUGCAUUGUGGUGAGAGAAGAUGGUCCGUGUUGUAUUAUUUUUGGGUGGGGAGAUGUGUUAAGAUUUCCUUUGCAGUUUAGCUUAUGGUCAAUUUUUGUGAAUGUGUAUACUCUGCUUAGAACGUAGUUCAGAAUAUUUCUAUUAGGUCAUGCUAUUGUGUUAGUCAAAUAGUCUUGAUCUUUAUUUUUUAAAGUGCUUAAUAUUUUAUUUUCCAAGAGAGAUAUGUUAAAAUCUAACACUGUGAUUUUUGGGGUCAAUUUUUCCUUUUUUUUUUUUUUUUUUUUUUUGAGACCGGUUCUCACUCUGUGCCUAGGCUGGAGUGCAGUGGUGCGAUCUUAGCCUCAAUCUCUCCGGGCUCAUGUGAUCCUCCUGCCUGUCCUCACUGUAGCUGGGACUACAGGCUCACACCACCACGCCUGGCUUUUUGUAUUUUUUUUGUAGAGAUGGGGUUUCCCCAUGUUGUCCAGGCUGGUCUUGAACUCCUGGGCUCACAAAGUGCUGUAAUCACAAAGUGCUGGGAUUACAGCUGCGAGCCAGUGUGCCCAGCCUCUCCUUAUUCUUUAACAGCUUUUGCUUUACAUAUUCUGAAUGUAUGUCAUUAGACGAAAACAUGCUCAUGACUAUUUUAUCUUCUUCUUGUAGUGUUUCUUUUAUCUCUAAGAAAUAUUUCCUCUUAGUUUCUUUUCACCUUGACUUCAACUUUGAUAUUAAUAUUCCUACACCCACUUUGUGCUAGUGUUUUCCAGAUAUGGUAAGUUGAUCAAAAAGAUGACACAAUAACUCCUUCCCUUCCUGAAUCCAUACGCCUUGUGACUUUGCCUCUGUUCUAAUAAGAGGUGAAGUCCAUUUCCUUAUUCGUUGAAUCAUGUUUGGCAUUGUGACUUGUGAAUACAGAAGGCAGCAGAACUAAUGCUAUGGGACAUCUGAGUCUAGUCCUCACCAGGUCUCCCAGCUGCUGAUCUCAUCACCUGGAACGCUGCUCCCACCAUGUGUAGAAGCCUGGGUUAGUGUCCUGGAGGAUGAGAGACAAUGUGGAGGGUGAGGCUGGCCAACAGCCUGCACCAGCUGUGUAAGACCAUCUGAGAUGACUGUAGCUGCAUGAGUGAACCCAGGGGAGACAUGCAGAGACUUGCCCAGCUGUCUUACUUGUUACUUUAAGCCAUUCAGUUUUUUCUAAGAUAAAAAAGGUUAGUUUAUCUAGGCAGAAAUAGUAUGUAAAUAAUUAUACAAGUAGUACAUGGAUAUGACGAAAACCUUGAAGCUGAUGUGCAAAGAGCUGAAAUUUGGAAAAUACUUAAUGAGAGAAUGGCCUAAAGAGCUAUUCGGUACUCUGAAUUCCCCAAAGGCAAGGACCAAUAUUUAUCCACCUCCGAUAUCUCCUCCGGAACCUUACACAGUACUUGGAACACAGUGGACUCUCUACAAAUACCAAAUUGGGAAUUAACUCUUAUUAUAAACACUGAGUGUCAGCCCUGGUUCUUCCGGGCUCCAAAACUAACAUAUGAGUAGAUUUCUCCAGGUAGACAAGAGUGAGGUAAACCCCCAAGAAUCAGGAACUAGAGCCAAGUAAAGAAUAAGCCCCGAGAAGCUUUGAGUAAAAAAGGAUACUGUUUGCACAUUGCGUAUUGGAAAACAAGUAGAAAGUCCAAAAACAAAAUAAAAACUUACAGCAGGAAGAAAAAAAAAAAAAGCCCCACAAACUCUACAGCUUAAGUUAGCCUAACCACAGCUGAGAUAUUUCUUCCGAAAGAACUAAAUGACAAGUUGAGAGAAAGGCCCCAUUGUCAGGUCAGCUGUUCCUGAGAAGAACUAAAUUCAAAACUAGACAAAACUCUCUCACUACUAAAAACGCAUAUAGACAGGGAAGCAUUUUUUCAAGUUAUACUAAUAAGUUGACUUGGAUGCUUUAAUAGCUUUCAUGAAUAAUUCUGAAAAUUGUUUAGCAUAUUUGAGGAACUCCACAACUACUUAGAAUAAAAAGAAAAGCAACUUUUUAAAAUUUAGUAGUAUCUCAAAAAAGAAAAACCUAGUUACAUGUUCUUGUAAAGAAGUUUCACUAUUAAUAUCAAAUGCUCCAGAAGUUUACUUUAUAAGACAUAUUCAAAAUAUAUACCCAAUAAUCUAAAUUUAGAUGCUAGAGUAGCAAUAUAAUUUUGGUUCUCCAAAGAUUACCAAGCAUGAAAUAGCAGUCUCCUUGGGGUGUUGCCAAACCAGGUGUCUUUACAUCCCAUGAGAUCUUAACACCAACAUGCCAAGUAUCAAGAUCUCUGCCUUCAAGAUGAGAGUCGUCCUCACUUUCCUCUUUGGGGCCUGUCCACCAGAUUUUCAGCAUGAUGCCAGCGCACUGCCAUUUUCCGCAUGCCAAAAUAAGGUUUCUCUUUCAGGUGUGGGAUUUUCGGAGGAUCCAUGAAUUCAGCAAAGUUACGUUGUAUGCUGCUCUACUCUUUAUGUCCAGUUCAUCUUCUUGUCCAUCACCGGAUGACCCCAUGCCAGCACUGGGGAAAUCUGCAGCCAAACACACUGGCACAGCAUCCUCAUUAGCUUUCUCUUUGGCAGCAAGUUCUUCCAAAGCCUAGAUUAUUUCUAUCUGCAGGUAGUCAUUGACCUUGAGGAAGGUCUGACAAGCAGCAGCUAUUUCAGCCUUGGUGUAUUUUAUUUUAUUUUUUGAGACAGAGUCUCACUCUGUUUCCCAGGCUGGAGUGCAGUGGCACGAUCUUGGCUCACUGCAGCCUCUGCCUCCUGGGUUUGAGCGAUCCUCCUGCCUCAGCCUCCCGAGUAGCUGGGAUUGCAGGUCCGUCCAUGCCAUCAUGCUAAUUUUUGUAUUUUUUUUAGUGGAGACAGGGUUUCACCAUUUUGGCCAGGCUGGUCUGGAACUCCUGGCCUCAAGUGAUCUGCCCACCUCGGCCUCCCAAAUUGCUGGAUUACAGGGCGUGAGUCACUGCACCUGACCCUCGGUGUAUUUUAUAUUAGACCCUUUCACUGGCCAUGGUACCAUAAAGAACCUAGUGUUCAGGGACUUGUAGGUGCAACCUGGAUUACCAAUGAGGAUGGGAGAUACUGAAGUGAGCAAAUCUUUGCCUUGGAUCCUAACCAGGGCUCAAAAUAAGCAGCCAUGCUUGUGCAGUGUGAGAAAAGCUUCUUGAGCCUCUUUUUUUUUUUUUUUUUUUUUUUGAGACGGAGUCUCACUUUGUCUCCCAGGCUAGAGUGCAGUGGCUCGAUCUUAGCUCACUGCAAGCUCUGCCUCCCAGGUUCACGCCAUUCUCCUGCCUCAGCCUCCCGAGUAGCUGGGACUACAGGCAUCCACCACUACGCCCGGCUAAUUUUUAAAAAUAUUUUUAGUAGAGAUGUGGUUUCACCGUGUUAGCCAGGAUGGUCUCGAUCUCCUGACCUCGUGAUCCUCCUGCCUCGGCCUCCCAAAGUGCUGGGAUUACAGGCGUGAGCCACUGCGCCCGGCCUCUUGAGCCUCUUUAUGGAGCUCCCCAGAUACACUGCUGGCUUCUUGGAGAAUUAAUUUAGGAUAUUUCAGCUGCCACGGCUGAUAGAAUUCAUCUUUGGGGGUCAGAUAAGGAAGCCAAGUGUCUUCAAACUCUUCAAAAUGCCUCAGUUUCUUAGCUUUGCACUCUUGUUCCUCGGCAAUCAGGGUGUGCUUCAUGCGGCCACUAAAGCCACCUUCCUAAGUCAUUAAGGUUUGGUUUGGUUUUGUUUUUUGAGACAGUCUCACUCUGUCGCCCAGGCUGAAGUGCAGUGGCACAAUCUUGGCUCACUGCAACCACCACCUCCCGGGUUCAAAUGAUUCUACUGCCUCAGCCUCCCAAGUAACUGGGAUUACAGGCGCGUGACACCAUGCCCGGCUAACUUUGUAUUUUUAGUAGAGACAGGAUGUCACCAUGUUGGCCAGGCUGGUCUCGAACGCCUGACCUCAAGAGAUCCACCCGCCUCGGCCUCCCAAAGUGCUGGGAUUAUAGGCAUGAGCCACGUGCCCGGCACUAAGUCAUUAAGUUUUGAGGGUGGUUUGUUAUACUGCAGUAGAUAACUGAGACAACAGGUAUAUGGUUUCCCUGCAUCAUUUUGUUUUAGAUAUAUCUUUCAUGAAGGGCACCUACCUGGAGUUUAAAAAAAAUCCAAUCUGUUAGUUACGUGUUUAGUAGUCAUUGGAUUCAACUCUUUCAUAUCUAUUUAAUUAUUGCUACAUUUGUACUUAUUCGUAGCAUCUUCUUUUGGUUUUGUAACUACCAUGUUGUGUGAGUUUCCUAUAGCUGCUAUAAUAAAUUACCACAGGCCCAGCAUGGUGGCUCAAACCUAUAAUCCCAGCACUUCGGGAGGCCAGGGAGGAAGGAUGGCUUGAGGCCUGGAAUUUGAGACCAGCCUGGGCUAUAUAGCCAGAUGCUGUCUUUACGAAAAAAUAAAAUAAAAUAAAUUGAAAAAAAUCACAAACUUAGUGCCUUAAAACAACACAAAUGUAUUGUCUUAUAGUUUUGAAGGUCAGAAGUCUGAAUGGGUCUUAUAGGCUAAAUCAAGGUAUUGUCAGAGCUGCAUUAUUUCUGAGAACUCUAGAAGAAAAUCUGUUCUCUUGCCUUUUCCACCUUCUAGAAGCCACCUGCAUUCCUUGGCUCACAGGGUGCCUUCCUUCUUCAUUAAAACACAUCAUUUCAUUCUCUUUUUUUGUUGUCACAUUUCCUCUGUAACUAAUCCUUGUGAUUACAUUGGGCCUACCCAGAUAAUCCAGGAUAAUCUCUUCAUCGAACUACUUAAUCACAUCUGCAACAUCCCCUUUUGUUUUGUAAGGUGACAUACUCAGAUUCCGGGGAUCAGGACAGGAGAUUUUUGAAAAGAACCAAGAAGGAUUAUUUCAUCUACCACACAUCCCUUUUCCUGGUUUCUUUUUUAUCCUCUUUUUUGCUUUCCUAAUCUAUCAAGAUGCUUGUGGCUGCAAAGUAGCAGAGGCCUUAGUUAAACAAUGCUGUAAUCAACAGAAAGACAGAAGGCUUACACAACUGGAUACCCAGAGGAGAGUGAGCCCGUGACUCAGCAUCGCCAUCAUGGACCCUGGUUCUUUCCAUCCCUCCCAUCUGCUACCCAUAGCAUUAGCUUCAUCCCGAGGCUGGUUCCUUGAGUGGCCAAGGGAUGAGGCUGGAAGUGUCCUUAUUCACACCCACUGAGGGAGAUAGUUGAGUACUUAUCACUUUCCAUUUGGACCCGGUUUCACAAGCUUGGCACUAUUAUUAUUAUUAGCAGUAGUAGUGGUAGGGACGGGGGUCUCACUCUGGAGCUGUCUCACUCUGUUGCUCCAGGCUGGAGUGCAGUGGUGUGAUGACAGCUCACUGCAACCCUGAACUCCUGAGCUCAAGUGAUCCUCCUGCCUCAGCCUCCCAAGCAGCUGGGACUACAGGUGCGCAUCACCACACUGGAUUCAUUUUUAAAUUUUUUGUAGAGAUAGGUCCUCGAUAUGCUGCCCAAGCUGCUCUCAAAGUCCUUGGCUCAAGCGAUCUUCCCACCUUGGCUUCUCAAAGUGUUGGGAUUACAGGCGUGAGCCACUAAGCCCUGGCUCCCUUAGCAGUUUCCAAACCCACCCUGUGGUUUUCCCAAUACCUGCAGAACCAGCUUUAAAGUGACCACAGCAGAGAUGCCAGUGCAGAUGCUGGAGCCUUUCCUCAGAAGUCUGAGUUUCAAUUAUGCAGAGGGCUCUUCCUCCAACUUCUAAGCUUUAGUGGUUCAACUUCUUCCUUUGUUCUCUCAGCCCGAGUGGGUAGCUGCUUCUUGCAGUUACUAACUUAAGUGAUACUGCAGAUUUGUUUUUUUGACUUUUCAGUUAUCUAGUUAAUAACCAUAAACCUAGUUAACAGUUCUCUGUAUUACAUUGUCUCUGUUAAAUAAUUGGUAUAGUUUCUGUCCCCUGACUGAUGUAUCUUUAUAAGCUUAAUUCUCUAUUACGAUACAUUUGUUUAUGGUUGUGAUUUGCACCUCUGGGAGGGUUAGGUUCUAAGAUCAGGGUAUCAAACAAUAAAACUUGUUGGUCCCCCAAUACACUGCCUCCUUAAUGUAAUCGAAAUUGGCUGUUGGCCCUGGGAUGGAGCCAGCUACCCUAGCUAAGACACUGUUGGGCAGUGCAGAGCAGAAUUUGGCAGCUGAGGAGAAGGCCUCUCAUCUGGCUGUGGUCAGUGUCAGUUCCUCAGGGCUCUCUGCAAACAGAACUGGAAGUUUAUGCUCCCUUUUACCCCACAGGCAGAAGGUCCCUCUGGGAGAAAUUCAUAGGCCAGCUCUGUGCUGAGAUUUCAGUUUAGCUUAUAUAUCUGCUACAUUUCCAUUUUCCCCUGCUCCAGGGCCAGUUGGACCACCCCUCCCUCCCUGUCUUCCCUCCCUCCUUUCUCCAUGAAGACAUUUUUCAGCUCCCUCGUCUUCUUUCUCUUUUUUGCCAGGGGCCAUUGAAUGCUACCUCAUUUCAAAUCACUCUGGGUUAGUGCCCUCCUCCCAGCCCCCAUAUCCUCUGGCAUGUGCCUCAUUCUUCCUGGCAUGGAUCCCGCAUGUCUUAGAUGGGAGAAGGCAUGCAUGGAUUCUUAUGAGUCCCGGGUACUGUGAGCAGUGGCCAAGCUUGGCAUUUCUUGUAGCCCAGAUGUCAUGGAGGAAUUCAUACUUGCUACCUACAGAUAAAGAAACAGAAAAUCAAUGACUUACCCGAGGCAUUUAGCCACUCCUACAACUUAAUUAAAAAAAAAGACCAAAACCCAAAAACAAAAAAGAAGACAAACAAAAAACAACAAAACAAUGGGCAAAAGGUUUGAGCAACCAUUUUAUAAAGAUACACAGAUGACCAAUAAGCACACACAAAAUAUUGCUUAACAUCAUUAGUUGAGCAAUUAAUGACAUGCUCAAAUUAAAUAUAUGCAAAUUAAUUUGCAUUGUAUAAAUGCAAAUUAACAUGCAAAUUAAAUAUACAAUGAGAUACUAUUACACACCCGGUAGAAUGGCUAAAAUUAAAGACUGACAAUAUGAAGCAUUGGUGAGGAUGUCAAGCAACUGGAACUCUCAACAUUACUGGUGGGAGUAUAAGGUGGCACAACUAAUUUGAAAAAAAAGAGUUCCAUAGUUUCUUAUAAAACUAAACAUAGGGGUCGGGUUCUGGGGCUCAUGUCCGUAAUCCCAGUGUUUUGGGAGGCUGAGGUGGGAAAAUCCCUUGAGGCCAGUAGUUCACGACAAGCCUGGGAAACAUGGCAAGACCUCAUUUCUAAUUUAAAAAAAAAAGUUCGCAGACAGUGGUGGCGUGUGCCUAUAGUCCCAUCUACUGGGGAGGCUCAGGCAGGAGGAUUGCAUGAGCCCGGGAGUCUGAGGUUGCAGUGGGCUAUGAUGGCAUCAUUGCACUCCAAUCUGGGCAACAGAGAUAGACCCUGUCUCAAAAACAAAGCCCCAAACAACCACCAAACAUAGGACCUUUAUCAAAAUUAAAAACUUUUGUGCAUCAAAGGACACUAUCAAGAGAGUGAAAAGGCAAGCUACAAAAUGGGAGAAAAUAUUUGCAAACCAUGUAUCUGAUAACGGGUUAAUAGCCAGAAUAUAAAACAACUCCCCAAACUCAACAACAAAAAAAACAAGCAACAGAAUUUAAAAAAUAGGCAAAGGACUUGACAGACAUUCCUCCAAAGGAGAUAUAUAAAUGGCUGAUAAACCCAUAAAAAGAUGCUCACAUCACUAAUGAUUAGGGAUGCGCAAAUCAAAACUACAGUGAGAUAGUGCUUCAUUUCAUUAGGAUGGCUAUUAUAAAAACAACAGCAACCACAACAAACCAAAACAUAAAAUGGCAAGUGUUGGUGAAGAUGUGGAACUCUUGUGUAUUUUUAGUGAGAAUGUAAAAAUGGCACAGCUGCUGUGGAAAACUGUAUGGUGGCUUAUCAAAAAAAUUGAACAUAGAAUUAACUGUAUCUUCCAGGAAUUCCACUUUUAGAGAUACACCCAAGAGAACUGAAAGCAGGGACUCAAACAGAUAUUUGUACACCGAUGUUAGUAGUAACAUUAGUCACAAUAACUAAAAGAUGAAAACAACCCAGCGUCUAUUGACAGAUGAAUGUAUAAACCAAACGUAGUAUCACAUAUAAUGAAAUAUUAUUCAGCCUUAAGAAGAAAUGAAGUUUUGAUAGAUGUUACAACAUAAAUAAGCCUUAAAAAUAUUACGCUAAGUGAAACAAACCAUGCACAAAGGACAAAUAUUGUAUGAUUCCACUUUUAUGAAUACUCAGAAUAGUCAAAUUUGUAGAGAUAGAAGGUAAAAUAGUGGUUACUGGGCUCGGGGGAGGAGGUAAUGGAGAGUUAUUGUUUAAUGGGUAUGGGGUUUCAGUUGAGAUGAGAAAAAAGUUGCGGAGAUGAAUAGUGGAGAUGGUUGUACAACAACGUAAAUGUAUUUAAUGCCACUGAAUCACACACUUAAAAAGGGUUAAAAUGGUAAAUUUUAUGUUCUGUAUAUUUUACCACUAUAAAAAGAAAAAAAU